CUCCAGUACGAGACUCACAACUCUCUGAUGAGGUUUGCUGAAGUAUGACCGUAUGACAGAAGGAAAGAACAGCUCUGCUCCAGUACGAGACCCACAACUCUGAUGAGCUUAUAUUGAAGGAUGACCAUAUGACAGGGGAAGAGAACUGCUCUGCUCCAGUACGUGACUCACAACUCUGUUAUUGCAUAUCAGAUUUAACGAACCGUUUACUACGGAUUUCAUGUAAUUUUGAUAACUGUCCAUUAAUCAGAUGUCAUCACGCUGCUGUGCCGUCAGCCAAUCGUUGUAUUGCUGGUAAUGAUUUUGAGGAUCGAUAGAUCUGUCACAACACACAGUCACAACACCUCUCAGAUCAGUUUAAUCUGAUUCGCAAACUUUUUUGAAGAACCAAAUUAGCCUAAGAUGAGUUAUCAAGAUUAAAAGAUCCAGGAUCUGUAAUAUAAUCUUAGAUUAUUUAAGCGAGGUCCGAAGAACAGACCCCUGGACCCUUGAGUACUACUGUCUAA